GCAAAAUACUGUUUUGUACUUCAGACUUCCUCUGAACUCUGAAAAGUUUAUACUGCAAAGCAGACAGAAAGAACAACAAAAAAAUGGAAGGAACGGCCUGCUCCAGCUAACAAAGCAGGAAUUAAAUCCAUGCUGGGUUAUUCCCCCACCCUCCAUGCAGCCUGAGGAUGCUGAUUUGGCCAGUGCCAGCUGCUCUGUGUUGAACAUCUCAUCAUUGCAGGAUGGACAGAACGGUGAAGGACCUGGAGAUUAGAAGGUGACCUCAGGAUAAUGAAAAAUGAAUGCAUGUGUAUGCUGGCUAGAUGGACUUGAUUCUGAUGUUAUAAACAUUGUCAAGGAGGUGUAAAAAUGGUGGAAACACACUUCUGAAGAUGGCUCAUCAGGAUUUCUGCCUUUGUUGGGACAAAAUCCUGCAGAUUCACGAGCAGGGAUCCUACAGAUCUCACCUAAAAGAGUGAAAUCUCCAAGCAUAUUUUGUCAUAUUUAAAGAAGAACUCAGCCCCUGAGUGCAGCUCUCCCUGGUUUUAAGCCAGUGUGAAGGAAACAUCCCAGUGCCUCUGCAUGAGCUGGACUCCUGUGAUAAACUUGUGGCAGAAGAAAAGGAGCCAACAUGUGCAUUUCUUCAAAGAUCAGUGAACGUCUCUCUGCAGAGAGCAUCACACAGGAAGGGCAAAGCUGUGAACUUAAACUUCUUGUGACCAAGGAAGAUCAGGAAUUGUACUUCUACUUUCAGAGAUGACUCAUAGAAACAGAGAAAAUGCAACAGACCCUGCCCCAGUGCUGAUGGCUGUGACAUGGUGUCUCCACCACAAGAGACCUAAUGUGGAUACAGCUCUACACAAAUGCAUCUACACCUCUCACUGUAAAGGAGUCCAAGAGUAGGAACCAAACAACUACUCUCAGUUUGAGGACUGUGGAAAGGGAAGGAGGAAGGACAGACAUGAAGGUGGAGAGAAAAUUUCCUUGGAUGAGCCUCCUUUCCAGAGGAAAGCACUGAAGGUUCUACCUGAGAAAGGAUUUAGCAUGCUGAUCCUCAAUUUUUGCUGUCUCCUCUCCAUCAUCUGUGGGUGUUUACCAAAGCGCCAGAUUCGGGGGGACUACAAGCAACUCCUGAUCUUUAAUUCCUGCUCAGGCCUGGAUUGGUACUGCUGAAUUCUGUGCCUCUGGGAAAUGGGCACAAUACUUGCACUCAUCAUGGAGCUGUUGUGCUGACCGGGUACUGCCCAGGAAGUUUUUUGAGUGUAGAAGUGCUAAAUGGGAAGAAAGGUUUGUGGCUGUAAUGGAACAGGGCUUCAGUAAUGAUUCUUGGCUAAGGUGAGACCACCAGCCCUGUCCAGUGAAAUCCUGGGUAGUUUGCCAAUUGUCUCAGAUGGAUAAUUACUUUAUUUUUCGUGUUAUUUCUUCCACUGCAAAUACUUCUGUUUCCUCUACCAAUAUAUGCAACAUGGCCAGUAAGCCUGUCUGUGUGUGCUCUGCUGCAGGUUCUAUGAUUUUUGGUUUUUUUUUGGUUUGGAUGGCACAUUAAAACACAGAGGAAUAAUCUGAUGGCAAGGUAAGCUUUGUGUUGAGGCUAGCACUAAUAUACAGCAAGAACUCCUUCUGCUUAAAACACAUCUAUGGUGUCUGAAUUAUUGUCCCUGUGCAGUUUUCACAGUUAUUACUUGGUAGGUUGCCUCUUCAGUGUCAAAUUAGAAGUCAUUCGGCCAGAACCAUUGCAGUGGUGCCUCUUGAGGUUUGUAGGUGCACACACUCCAAGUAUAUUACAUAUUUUUCUGAACAGUUGUGCUUUCACAGGGGUCUGUAUUAGAACAGCAUGAAAUCUGCUGCUGUUUACACAGGUUUCAUCUAAGCCUCACUGGUGGGUUCACUUUCUGCAGUGUCAGCAGCGCUGAGAGUCAAACUCGGCUUCACACAAAGUUGAAACUUAAAAAGAAAACUUUGACUCAGCUGCUUGAAUCUCUUCCAGUAUCUUUCUCCUUCCCAUUCUUUUCUUCAAGGGCAAAUUUGCUUUUAGCUUUCAGAUACUGUGUGAACACCAAGCAGUUUCUUUUCCUACUUUUCAGGAGCCAUUUCAUUUUGCAGUUUUGUCUGCAUGCGCUCAUCCAUGUCACACACUUGCUGGGGUGUACAGAAAGCAG